UUUAUAUAAAGUUAAAAUUUAAUAUUUUUACCAAGUCAAUCCUUAAGAUCUACGACUAAUAAGUCUAUCAUCGUUCCUUCUUAAGACCCUGGAAAGAUUGAUUGAUAUCCAUUUAAGGGCACGUAUCGAUACAAGACUUCUGUCUUCGUCUCAACAUGCCUACUGUAAAGGUAAAUCGGUGGAAACAGCGUUACACACUUUAGUACGCACCAUCGAAUAUUCCCUCCAUCAUAAAGAGUUCACUUUGGUUGCUUUUCUUGACAUCGAAGGCGCCUUUAACAACGCGGACACAUCUGCAAUCACAUCUGCACUGACAUCUCUAAAUGUAGAGAGUUCGCUUCGGGAGUUAAUUCAUUUAAUGCUUACUAGCAGAAUAAUUAACUCAAAACUGGGCAACUCUUCUAGUAGCAAUUCGUUAGUAGAGGGACACCUCAAGGCGGUGUUUUAGCCCCUCUCCUCUGGAACCUAGUGGUGAAUGAAAUCCUAACUAGUCUGGAUGCGAAGGGUUUCAGAGUGAUAGCUUAUGCGGACGAAGCGGACGUUGCUAUAGCAGUUUCAGGAAAGCAUCUUAACAUCCUAAAAGAACUCUUAAAAAAUGCCUUGGACAGACUAAUACUUUAGGCUGUCCGGUGUAGACUUAUUUUCGAGGAGAUACAAAAUUCCAUUUGUCAACCCUCCCUAUAUUAAAGGAAUCCAAUUAAAAUUCUCAGACGAGGCUAAAUACCUGGGUCUUGUCUUAGACAAAAAACUAAAUUGGAAACGCAACGUACAGGAAAGAGUCAAAAAAGCUACUGUAGCUCUCUUUUCUUGCAAAAAAGCUAUUGGUAAUAAAUGGGGUUCACACCCCAGAAUCACGCAUUGGCUAUACACAUCGGUAAUCAGACCGAUUUUAACGUACGGUGUGGCAGUACUGCUUUAGAGAAAGGUAUAAACAGGGAUAAGUUAAAUAAAGUCCAACAUUCAGCCUGCCUAUGUAUAAGCGAAUCGCUUCGAACGACCCCGUCUGCAGCACUGGACACCUUGCUCUACCUUACACCUCUUGACAUAUUUAGUAAACAAAUAGCUCAAAGCUUCGUCGCAGUGGACUAACAACAACAUUGGCUACUCCGUAAUUCUAAGAAAAUAUUAAAAGUCAAAGAUUGCUUUCAUACACAAAUAUUGUAACGGACUAUCCAAUUUGCGGUUUCAAAAGAAUAGGCUGGAAUUUUUUUCAGUUGAAAGUCUGAGGGUCCGGCCACGUAAUGAGCGACGAGCGACCGAGCGACGCAAACAAAUUAGAACACAUGAAAUCGUAUGGAGCUGGCCACAUAUCUGCCCAAAGCUGCCCAGUGCUAUGGCAGGACACCCACAAAGAUUACAAAAAUAAAAAGAGGCUGGGAUGCGACCCACACUGAUAACUUCCCAUCCCGUCUGUCGAUUUGUCUUGCUUAAAAGUUUGUCUAUAUGUACUCGUAUCAAUUUUUACCAAAUUUGCGCACUAUUUUUUGUAGAUUUUAUUUUUUUAUGAAAACACUGACUGUUGGAUUUUUAUAUAAAAAUUACUGAAUAUUGAAAACAAUAUUUUCUGUGAAAUAAAAUAAGUUUGAAUA